UCAUGUACAAUAUGUUCCUUAACCACUGUGAACUUAAAUUUAAACAUAAAUAAUGUAAAGAUAUUAGAUCUCCAAAUGUUUGAAGAUUAAGCAACAUACUUCUAAAUAACCUGAAGAUCUAAGUAGAAAAUAUUUUAAACUAACUGAUAAUAAAAUAUAUCCAAACAUGUAUCAUGCAACUAAAGCAGUGUGUAGAGGACAAUCAUUAGAUAAAGAAAAGAAGCACAAAUUAAAACCAUAAAGUAGGAUAAAGAAAAAUAAUAAUAUUGAUCCUUUUGAAGUGGGACAGAAAAGGCUGGAUACCCAAGGAAUUAUCAAGAAGCAGGUUAAUAAACUGCAGGGUCCAGAGAGUCUGUUGGAUAGCCUAAAACAUUCUCUGGACAAUGACUAGAAUUUCUUUGAACUUAAUAUCCAGUGUGGGGUGGGGGCGGUGAGGGGGGAGUUGGAGAUUUACAUGCAGAGGAGUCAACAUCAAAGUUCUCAUAAAGUGCUUUUUGUUUCAUUUCUUAUGACAGAGGUUCACAACCAAAAUUAGCUUUUGCAAGACAGAGUAGAGCAACAGAAAAUAGGGUGGGAAGUAUCCCUUCUUUCUCAUAUUCAAGGAUUAGUUAAGUAUUGGCUUUUGUACCAUAGCUUAGUUUCAGCUUGGUUGUUUUUGUCAGUUUUUGAGCCCAUUGAGCCCUUCUGCAGAAAUCUUUCUUGACUGAUAUUUUAUUAACAAGAAAAAUUGUGGUGAGGGUCUCUGAAGAAGCUUAAUUAAGAUGCAUUGGUAGAGGAGGGGGUGCCACCACAUUUUCAGUUAAUAAACAUGAUAUUGGGUAUUCAUGCUGUGUGUGCGAUGUGUCUCCCUCUAAACCUUCUGGGCACAUUGCUUGUCUGAUAUGGAAAAAAUAAUAAUGACAAAAAUCGAUGAAAGGGCUGGGGCUGUGGCUCAGUGGCAGAGCAUUUGCCUAGCACAUGUGAGGCUCUGGGCUUGAUCCUUAGCACCACAUAAAAAAGGAAAAAAGAUCACUUCUUACCAGGCAUGAUGGUGUACACCUGUAAUCCCAGCGGCUUGGAAGGCUGAAGCAGGAGGAUCACAUGUUCAAGAUCAGUCUCUGCAACUUAGCAAGACUCUGUCUCAAAAAAUAAAAAAGGCUAGGGAUGUAGCUCAGUGAUAAAGUGCCCCUGGGUUCAAUCAAUUUCCAUUCAUCAUAAGAAUUUCUUAUAAAUACAAACCCCAAGCUGGGAAAACAUAGUUAUGAUAUGUGUGUGUUAUAUAUAUAUGUGUGUGUGUGUGUGUGUGUGUGUGUGUGUAUAAAUAUAUAUAUAUACAGAUGAAAGUUCAUAUUUAGAAUACAUAAUACAGUUCUAAAAUAAAUUUAAAAAACAAAUAAAAAUUAGUAAAAAUUUUUGUUUGUGUUUUUGUUUUGUACUGGGAAUUGAAAAGUUUUUGUUUUUGUUUUUGUACUGGGAAUUGAACCCAGGGUUGCAUAACCACUGAGCCACAUCCCCAGCCCAUUUGGUAUUUUAUUUAGAGACAGAGUCUCACUGAGUUGCUUAAGGCCUCACUAAAUUGCUGAGGUUGGCCUUGAAUUCAUGAUCCUCCUUCCUCAGCCUCUCAAGCUGCUGGGAUUACAGACAUGCACCACUGUACCCAUUUUAGUAAGAUUUUAAAGGCACAAAGCAAAAGAGGAUUGCUUUGUGCAAUAAAUGACCAAUAAGCAUAUGAAAAAAUUCUUAUUAACCACUAGGAAAGUACAAAUUAAAAAAUCACUGGUUAUCAUUGCAUUCCCAUUAGAAAAAUUAAAAUUGAGACUAACCCCAGGAAUAUAGGAGGAAUAUGAAGCAAAUUAAACUCUUCACUCAUUGCUUGUGUGUGGGAAGCCAACCUUACACGUGACUGAGUUACACUCCCCGGCUGGGUGCUAAGGCGCUCAGUGCAAAAAUGUGGCACCCUUCUUGGGUGCGAGGGUCAGUGUCUCGUGCAUGGAUGUGUCUUGCUACAGCCCAUGGGUGAAGCUAUGCUCACCUGUUCCUUUGUAAUAUAACCCCUUGCCCUGUUUAGGAUAGAAUCUUCCAUGGAAGUGCCUUGUAUGUAUCCCCUUCUCUUACUGUGCCCUUGGCUGUGGCCAACCCAGGUGUCAGUCAACCUGCUGACAGUGGACAUCAUGAAGAUACUCAGCCCCCUAAAACCUGACCCCUUGCCUCAUUUGAAUAGCUUCUCCUCAAUAAAAGGGGUCAGCGCGUGCUCUCUCUCUCUCUCUUUCUGUGGACCCUUAAGGUCAGAGAAGCUGUCACAGUGACCCCAAAGAAAAAGAUAUUUGUGUCUCUUAUGUGGUUAUUUCAUGCAGCCCAGUUAGCCCAGUUUAACUGGAAUGACCCCUGAGCCUUUUAGUCGCGAGAACAGAAACCCGGCACUUAUGGGAGUGUAAACUGUUAAGAAUACUUAGGAAAAAAAAAAUUAGGAGUUUCUUGUGAAGUUAGACAUCUAUUCUAUGAUCCAGCAAUUUCAUUCCUGGGUAUUUACUGAAGAGAAAUAAAAGGAAUGUGUGUACAACAAAAGACUUAUAACAAAAAGGUUCAUAGCACUGUAAUUGUUGUUGUCUUUAUUGCACUGUUGGGGAUGGAGCCCAGGGCCUCACACACCUUAGGCAAUUGCUCUACCACUGAGACACACCCACAGCUCAGCUUUAUUCUUCUGUGUGUGUGUGUGGUGGGGCAUGUAAUGGGAAUUGAACCCCGGGGUGCUUAACCACUGAGUCACAUCCCUAGCCAUUUUUAUUUUUAUUUUUUUAAUUUUUGAGACUGUAUCUCACUAAGUUUCCCAAGCUGGCCUUGAACUUACAAUCCUCCUGCCUCAACCUCCCAAGUCACCAGGAUUACAGGUGUGCACCACUUUGCCACGCCUUCCUUUACAUUUUUGAACAUAGAUAUAAUAGCUGAUAUUAAAUCCUUGUCUGUCAAUUCUAACAUCUGGGACCUCUUCCCAUUAUUGAUUUCUCUCUUGAGUAUGGACUACAUUUUCCUGCUCCUGCUCUCCUUCCUCCUCCUGUUUCCUUUUCCUCCUCCUCUCCUGUUCCUCAUCCUCCUCCUUCUUCACAGAGCUGGGGAUUUAACUCAGGGCUUCAUGUUUGCUAGGCAAGCACUCUACCACUACACUAUACACCCAGUCCCUUCCUAUUUAUUAUAAGUUAUAUGUAAGUAAUUUGGGGUUGUAACUUAGACACUGUGAAAAAUACUUUGUAAAGACUCUGGAUUUUAUUAAGUUUCUCUGAAAAUUAUUGAUUUGUUUUAGCAGACGAUUAAUCUGGCUCAACUGAAACUUCAAACUCUGGGUCCUCUCUGAUGGGCAGCAAGUGAAUUUCCAGUUCUUAGCUGAGCCAUUUGAAGUCCACCUGUGCAUGUGUGAUUCAGGACUUGGAUAAAAAAUUGGGGGUAGGACUUCUUCUUGGAAAGAGAUUGGACAAGCAGAACUAUCCAUUAAACUUCUCCAGAUGGAGCUACCAGUCCAGCAGCGGCCAGUGGAGGGACUCUGUGAGCUUUACACUCCCACAUAUUAUGGUGUCCUCUCCCGACAUGCAACAGACCCCUUAGAAAGAGUUUGUGACAAUGACUGAAUAUAGAAGAAGCCAGUCCAUGGACCUUCAGCAAACAAGAGAAGGAAACACAGGAGUUGGUGUGGGCCUGAAGGAUAUACACACAUCGCUUGAAGGUACAAUCUACAAUGUUAACCAGGGGCUACAUUGCCUGAAGUCUCAUUUUUCUCCAAGUGAGAAAUGAGUCAAUCUGCCAGAGGACACAGAAGUCAGAGAAAAAUGGCACACAUCUCUACAAAAGGGCAUUAUUUUUAUGAUAAAACACAGGCACUUUAAAAAUUCAUACCCUUAUCAUGAAGAAGAAUGUGAAGUCUGCAUGGAUAUUUGAGAUACAGCAUCACAUGCAAAUAAAAGCUGUCUUCCAGCUCUCUCUUGGGGACAGUGCUCCCAACUUCCCAGAGUGGCCCUUCUGUGCCUCUGCCACUGGAAAGCUGCAGUGGAGAAGUCUGAGAGGCUCUGCCCUCAUUUGGAGAUGAGUGAUGGUGGAAACUAAGGGACCAUGUGUGUGCAAGGAAGUGGAUUUUGGUGGGGAUUCCAUGAGGAUCUCCUCAAAUCACAUCACAGAAAGAGCUACCCUGUGGCCUGAAUCUGACUAGGUCAGCACCUUUGAUGGUUAAGGAGUCCAGCACCUCCAGCUCUCUUGGUCUUCCUCCCUCUCCAUCCCCAGGCACUGACGUAUGGUGGUAGAGACUGGGUGGCAGCUGCCAUGUUGCCAUUUGUGCAUCCCAGCCAUGGCCCUCCUUUCUCAGGAAAAAAACUGUGGAUGACGACCAUGGUCAACUCAUGUAACCUUUCUGAGCUUUAAUUUUCCUCACCUGUAAAAUGGAGAUAAUAAUAAUACCCCAUGACUUUGUAUCAAAGACAAAAAUAAAUUAUAUGUGUGAAAACAUAUUAUAAACUACAGUGCUUCAUAAACAUGCUGGCUAUUAUCAUGCUGGGUUACACUCAGGUCUGGAUGGUUUAGCUUCUUGUUGAUUUAUGCAUUUGUUAGUUUACUUAUCCAAGGGCCCAGGAAAUAUAAUUAAGUGUUGAUUUAUAGGACAGGAAGUAGGAGGCAAAGUCUCACUUCAGUCUUGAGGGAAAUAGAGCAAGACAAGCAAGGGCUAUUGCUAGGACUCUGCAGCCUGCCUGGUGGGACUGGAGAGGGACAGUACCAGGAAAAUCACCCAAGUGACCAUAGCCCACAAAUUGUUGCUGGGGAGCAGCUUAGGAACCUGUGGAAUGAAGGGGCUGCCAGAGAAUGCACGGCAAGUGCACUUCAGUGCCAAUGGCCAGAGGGAGGGUGGAAGGGGACUCCUUCUACCAGACUACACUAGAAAAUUCCAUUCAGUCCCAGAAAAUUUCAACACCAAGUUUAUACUUCUGAGCAUGUUUCUUGUCUUAAUUUAUUAUUAUUAUUAUUAUUAUUAUUAUUAUUAUUAUUAUUAUUAGUGUGUGUGUGUGUGUCUGUGUGUGUUGCUGGGGAUUGAACCCAGGGCCUUGUGCAAAAGAGGCAAGCACUCUACCAACUAAGCUAUACUCCCAGCCCCUUGUCUUAAUUUUAAUGUAUUAAAAUAAAGGUAAGAUGCCAUACCCCCUGCAGAAAACACUACCUGUUACUGGGCUUCCUAUAUUAAUGUGUUUUUGUUUGUUUGUUUUUCUUUCUGAGACAGGAGCUCCCUAAUGUUGCCCACCCUAACCUUAUUCUCCUGGGCUCAAGCCAUCUUCUUGCUUCAGCUUCUUGAAUAGCUUGUUUUGCAGGUUUCACUCUUGUGCCCAGCUCCCAAUGUCAAAUAUUUGAUCAGCAUUUCAGAGAAGAAGAUUAAACAAAGAGUCAACAAACCCAAGAAAAAAUAAUUUUAAACAUCAUUAGAUAUCAGACAAAUGCAAAUUAAAAUUACAAAAACAUAAUAUUUCUAAAAAAAAAAAAAAGAAGAUCAAAUAGUAGCUCUAUGUUGGUGAGAAGGUGUGGCAAGAACUCUCAUACCUUCCUGGGUUGGAAUGUAAAGUGGAAUGAGUGCUAUUGAGCAGUUUCUUAUAAAGUUAAACUGUUGAGCAGUUUCUUAUAAGGUUAAACAUACAUAUACUCUAUGGCUCAGGAAUCACAUUUCUGGGCAUUUGCCCAAGAGAGAUGGAAAACAAAUGGUUCCCAAGAGACUAGUACUAGAAUAUCCAGAACAGGGGCUCAGGCUUCAUCCCCAGCACUGAAAACAAACACAAAGUUCACAGCAGCUUUAUUCAUAAGAGCCCCCAAACUGGAAACUCUCCAAAAACCGUAUAAGUGGAAGAAUUUAGCAGCAUAGCUAUAUAACAGAAGAAUACACAGAUUUUAAAAUAAACAAAUUAGGAAAGAACUUCACUUGACCUAGACUGGGUCAAGUGUUCACCUCUGGACCAUUCACCGUGUCUAGGAAGAGAUUUGUUUGAAAAGGGGAUUCCUAGUGGUUUGGAAAGGAGAAGGAAGAAGUGUGGACUUAAAUAAAAUAAAAUAAAAUAAAUGGGGCUGGGUAUGUGGCUCAAGUGGUAGAGCGCUUGCCUGGCAUGCAGGAGGCACUGGGUUCGAUCCUCAGCACCACAUAAAAAUACAUAAGUGAAAUAAAGUUAUUGUGUUCAACUACAACUAAAAAUAAAUAUUUUUUUAAAAAGUUGCAGUUGGGGCAACUUCUGAAGAACUGGCCUCCAGGCCACUUUGUCAUGGCUGACUGUGGGUAUGUCUUGAACAUAUUCAAAUGUUGUCAGGGAUCAAAUGCAGGAGUUCGAAAGCUUGGGAGUUGUCACGAGCGGUCUCUACAGACUCAGUCUGAGGCACAGUUAGAUUCAACCAAAUCUAUUUUAUUGAUGCUCAUCAUACUUCAGACACACAUCCUAAUUCUAUGUCCUGAAUCUACACCCAAGGGUCCUAGACACUCACCUGUGAUGUGUCUUAUGUCCGGGUCGCUGGAACUUGAUCCAGGCUGUAGGAGUCUGGCGCAGCCGGGACAAAAGCAAUGGAGGAUUCUGUCUUUCUAUCCAGGGCCUGUUAGUCUCGCUGGGCCCCAGAAGGCUGGGCUUUUAAGUCCUA